CUGUUUUGCCUCCAUGCUUCUUUCAUUUGUCUCCAAGCUUCUUUCGUUUGUCUCAGUGUUAAAAAACCUAGGGUUUUAGGAAGAAGAGCGAGGAGUGUGACGACGACACCAUCCAUCUCUACGACCUCUCCACCGCCUCCUCCCUCAGUUCCCUCCACCAACACUCUGCCUUUGUCACCGCCUUCUCCUUCUACGCCCCUACCAAUCUUCCGUUCCCCCGCAACCUCAUCUCUGCCAACGUCGCUGGCUCUCUCACCAUUUUUUACGCGGACGGCUUCGUCCAUCUUACUACGCUUUUCUUCCACUGCCACGCCGCUAUCAACGACCUUGCCCUGAACCGUUCGGUGAGUGCGCCCUCACCGUUGCUUGUGACAACUGCCUCGCCAUCAUCAACCUCGUCCGCGGCCGCCGCAACUGCUUCUUGCGCCUCGACAAGGAAACUACUCUGGUCAAGUUUAAUGUGUCCGGCGACCACUUUUUUAUGCAAAGAAGAAGGUUUCUGUCCACCACUUUUUGUUAAGCUUUAUGGGAUUCUUGUGUGCAUCUUUAGGAGAUCUUCAUUGUGCUACCGGUGUUGCGUUUAGGGGGUGUUGCAUUUAGGGAAGAUUCAGAGGGCUUUUAAGAUCACAGGUACAAAAUGGUAGAGCAAAAUCUUAUCAGUGAGAAGGUUUUUUCCUUUUUGUUGAAUGGGGAUCCAAAUGCGAAAAAAGGUGGUGAAAUGGUUUUCGGUGGUGUUAACCUAAAGCACUUUAAAGGAGACCACACUUAUAUUCCAGUUACUAAAAAAGGUUACUGGCAGGUGUUUGUGAGGGUGGUUGUGCUGCUAUUGUGGAUUCAGGAACAUCUUUUCUUGCUGGUCCAACCCUGGAAAAUUAUUCAAAAAUUGAAGAGGCUAAAAUAGAGGAGCUCAUGAAGGCAGUAGCAGAUUCUAGUGCCAAACUGAUUGUCAAUGGAGGAGUAGUUGGAGAGAUGGCUUUGCAUUUCUGUGACCGUUAAGAGCUUAUGGUUCUGAAAAUCAGCUCAAAGUUUGAACUAUGACGAUUUUGCAGAACAACUGGUUCUGUUGCUAUGUUGAAACUCAGCCAACCGAAUGCAAAUGAUCUUGGAUAUGUGGAUUCUGUUUCAGUUCAGGAAAUUGGUGGUGUCAGGGAAUUAAAGAUGAGACCUUGGUUAUGAUGAGAAGGAUUAGAUUUAUGAUGAAUGCGGUUUGAGAUUGUAGAGCUGGUGGAGAAUUUCAAUGCAUCAAAUAGUCAAGUAAAUUUCUUUUUGAAGUCAAGGAAGUCUUGGUUUCAAUUUCAGUCUUCUUAGAAGCACUUCUUUCAGUAAUUAUUUUCUGCAUCUGAAUCAUCAUAUCCACCUUUCUCUUUCUAUUUUCCUCCUUCUACAACAUACCAAGGGUUGGAGGAUGAGCAACAUACAAUCAGCUUAGCAGAAUGAAGAACAAUGUCUUUUUUGAAGAAUAUCAAGGUUCUUUCUUUCAUGAAGCAAACAAACCUAAAGAUGAGCAUGACAAGAUAUUCAUAGUAUAUGGAGUCUCUAGAAGCAAAAAGAGAAGCAAGUGAUACUUUUGUAGUCUUAGCUGAACUAAAUAAAUCUACUACUGUCUAGUAUGGUAUUUAUCAUUGUAAAUGGUUUUGACAUAGUGCCAACUUAGAUUUAGAUUGAUAAGUUUAUUUAUUAUGAGUAUAUAUUAAAAUUGUGGUUGUUGAAUAGGUAACACAUUAUAAUAGAUUCAUUAAUGUAAUUGUUUAAGAGUUUGUUAAAGAAAAAGAGUUGUACUUGUUUCUUUGAAUUCUAUUUAUAAAAGAUAAUUCUUACUAUUUGAAAAUUUGGCAACUGUAUUUGAUAUUUAUCAACUAUAUAGAACUUUUAAUUAUUGAGUGCAUACGAGAAAU